UACGUAGGGUGCAAGCGUUGUCCGGAAUUAUUGGGCGUAAAGGGCUCGUAGGCGGUCCAUCACGUCGGGAGUGAAGACUGGGGCUUAACCCCAGUCCUGCUUCCGAUACGGGUGGACUAGAGGUAGGUAGGGGAGAACGGAAUUCCUGGUGUAGCGGUGAAAUGCGCAGAUAUCAGGAGGAACACCGGUGGCGAAGGCGGUUCUCUGGGACGGUACUGACGCUGAGACGCGAAAGCGUGGGGAGCGAACAGG
rnacentral:rRNA from 1 species